GAUGAACGCUAGCUACAGGCUUAACACAUGCAAGUCGAGGGGCAGCAUAAUUAUUGCUUGCAAUAAUUGAUGGCGACCGGCGCACGGGUGAGUAUCGCGUAUCCAACUUUCCCAUAACUAGGGGAUAAUCCGUCGAAAGGCGGUCUAAUACUCUAUGUUGUCUAUUUAUGGCCUCAUAUUUAGACGAAAGAUUUAUCGGUUAUGGUUAGGGAUGCGUCCGAUUAGGUAGUAGGCGGGGUAACAGCCCACCUAGCCAACGAUCGGUAGGGGUUCUGCGAGGAAGGUCCCCCACAUUGGAACUGAGACACAGUCCAAACUCCUACGGGAGGCAGCAGUGAGGAAUAUUGGUCAAUGGACGAGAGUCUGAACCAGCCAAGUAGCGUGCAGGAUGACGGCCCUAUGGGUUGUAAACUGCUUUUAUGCGGGAAUAAAGUGAUUUACGUGUAUAUCAGGGCAUGUACCGCAUGAU
rnacentral:rRNA from 1 species